rnacentral:rRNA from 1 species
CCGUUCAGCUAUGCCACCCCGAACAAGCCCGAUCUCGUCUGAUCUCGGCAGCUGAGCAGGUCGGACCUGGUUAGUACUUGGAUGGGAGACCACCUAGCAAGACCAAGUGCUGUAGGUG